AGAUAAAUGACUUGCUUGGAUAGGUAGUUAUGCAUCAACCUUAAUGAUAAUUGUGCACAAAACAAAUUUAAAAAAAAUCCCAACAGAAAAUUUUCAGCACAACCCUGGCCAGCUUGCUUGAGCCCAAAGCCAGCUUAAGAGAGCUGUGGAAUCAACUGUCUUGUAAUGUUUGCAAACUAGAAGAAAGUAGCCCAUGAGCUUUGGCAAAGCACGGAAGUUGUAAUUCUGCGCGCAAGGUAUGCAGUUGAAAAGGACAGAGGCAGUGUGUUUUGAUGAGCGAGGAAUCAGACUUCGGUCCCAGUCCUACAAAACACCGAUCAUCACCUAAGGCAAAUCCUUGGCUUUGCUUUCCUCCAAAGAACCGAGAAGGGGUGACAUGCCAAGCAGCCAUGUAGGAGCCCGUGUGGAAGAGGACAAAACCCCAAUCUGCUCAUGAGUCUGAGCCACUCCCUCAAGACGAAGGUCAGAAACAAAGCAGAUUUGGGAGGCUACAAUCAAGGUCAUUUGAGAAGUGGGACCCAGUGCAUUACCAUUACCUGCGGGUGUCCACAAAGAAAUUUACCGACGUGGGAAAGGCUAGAUAAUGAGAAUGCUCCAUAAGGAGGCACUGAAUUUCACCAGGGAGAAAUGCAUCUAAGUUGCUUCACAAACGUUAAGAAAUAUAUCUACGUAAUUGUAUGUUGCAUUUUCCGUGGUCUUUGCUUUGUUCAUUUCAUGUGCAGUGAUUAAAAAGAGAUAUUGUACAUUUUAUUAUCUCUUAUGUUUUCCAAUAAAUACAAACCUGGAGUGCUUUUUUUUUUCUUUUUCAUUCUUCUCAGAGGUGUGGUGAACACUGAAUAAGAUAAUAAUUUUGAAAUACUAAUGUCUUGUCCGUUUGGGCAGCUGUAACAAAAUACCACAGACUGAGUGGCUUAUGGAUAAUAGAAAUUUAUUUCUCAGAGUUCUAGAGGCCAGAAGUCUGAAAUCAGGGCUGGCAUGUCAGGUGAGAGCUCUCUUUCGGGUUACAGAUUUCUUGUAUCCUCAGGAGCCCUUUUUAUAAUCACCUUCCAAAGGCCCCACCUCCUAAUACCAUCACUUUUAGGGGUAAGAAUUUGACGUAUGAAUUUUGGGAGGACACACUCUGUGAGA
rnacentral:lncRNA from 1 species